rnacentral:lncRNA from 1 species
AGAACAUGACGCCUGCAGCUGCCAUGAAAAGGGUGGGCAAUAGCCCUAGUAGCCCUUUCUAGUAAGUGCGUGCCUGCUAAUUUAUGUAAUCAUAACAUAAGCCCUAAUAUGUCAUCUUUCCUAUCUAGGCCAUGAAGUGGCUCAUCUUGUGAACCAGGGAAGAUGAGUUUUAAAACCAAGAUAAUCUUGUCUAGAAUUUAUGGCUUUUGGAAGUGGAACAUCUCAGGGCUACAUAAUUACAGGCAUCCUGCCCCACAGCCAUGUAAAUUUUCCUACAUAUAAAUGUUCGUUGCUGUCUUUUACAUUCCUCUGCUGACAGUGAAGAGGUCAUGCUAAAUCAAAUUGAUGCAGAAACUGGACAGUAUCUUUACCCAGGAUGUCCAAAUUAAUUCUACCAAAACAAGAGAGUUUUGGUUGUAAACUAUUCCACAGCUGCUACUGGAAAGAAGCAGGUGACCUUUGGAGUGUCUUGGAUGCCACAUGCAAUGCGCUGCAAUGAGAAGAGGAGCCAAGCAACAGGAUUUAUGAUGUUGUUUAUCUGUUGGUGAUGUUUCGUCAGUUCUGAUUUAUGGCAGAACUGCGCCUGGGCCCAGUGAGGUAUGGUUUCCAGUCCCACAGCUUGCCAGAAUUCAUGAGGGCUUACCCG